GGACAAACCAAUGUUUUCUCUGGUAGGCAUAACCUACCUGGCACCCCUAUAAAUAACCAAGUCAAAACCGUUACAAUCUCAGCAGACUAGACCGGCAUAUAGACUCUCACACAAAGCUCAACAGAGCACAGAGGAGACAAGGACCUUGGGAGACGACUGACGAUGGAGAGGCUAGCGGCGUUGAGGGUAUCGAUCCCUGCCAUCCCACUGGUGACCGAUUUGGAUAUUGUGGAGACWGUAAGGAAAGAAGAGGAGGAGAUGUUAUGUUCACCAACAGAAGCAGAGGAGGAAGUGGACUGCAAAGAUGAUUCCUGCCACUGCCAUGCACCAAUCCUGAGACUGAAGAAAGCUGUGCAAGAGAGGGAUGAGGCACUGACAAUGAGAAGUGAGACCAACCAAUCCAUUAAAGAGGACAACCUGAAGUUGAUCUCUGCGCUGCAUAGAGUGAGGAAGAAGUAACAGCUGCUGAAAAGGCAGAUGGGGAUUGUCAGAGUGAGUCCGGCAAAGAAGGSCCUCAACUUUCAGGCAGAGGCCGACACAGACACAAAGCAAGAGGAGCUGCAGCAGGACCAAGCGACAGGUUCAGGGGACCAGAGAGAGGAGCCUACAGUGUCCGGAUCUAGCUGCAAACUCAUCUUCCCRGGCUCUGCUAUGAGGAUUCAGGAAGACCUGUGAGGGCCCCAAUCCAAAUUAUAAGCUGAGGGAAAAUUGUGCCUCAAAGGUCAAGAUGGUGAUGCAAUUUUUGAACUACAUGGCCAAGAAUGAGACCUACCAGUACUCUCUCAUUUUCCUGACAGACCAUGACAAAAUAAGGCAAUGUGUUCAAUUCCUCCAGAAAAACAAGGCAAUCACCACAGUCAACCACUACACCUUGACUAUUGGUGCAUUUCUUAAAUAUACCGAGGAGACCCCUCCAGCCGGCUGACCGUAAACCAAUGGAAGGGGAUCAACCGGUUGAUGAAGGGCAUUAACAAGUCCAUGAGACGACCAGUUUCCCUUCACCACGUAAAGGUGAAGGACAACAAGGAAGGCAAGGUGGUGUCCAAAAAGAGCCUGCUGGAGUGCCAGUCUCUUGCCAAGGCAAAAAUCCUUCAAGUGCUGAGUAAGUUUUUCUCAAUCUGUGAUGUCACUGUUUUUACACACUUAUAGACAUCAGAUGUAUAGAGUGCAUUAUGGAGUAGGAUUAUGAAGCUGCCUUUUUUUAUUUUCAUAUUCCCACAAACAUUGGAAGAAACAAGGACACAGAGGAAUCAGUACCGGUUUUAUGGGUACCUGUGUGCCUACUUUACCUCCAUACACGGCCACAGACCAGGCCCGUCUAAAAACAUGUUGGUGGAGGAGGCAAAAUGUGACCAGUCUGGGGUGUAUCUGAUCAAUGUGGGGAACACAAAACUAAUCGAGAGUAUGGCUUGGUCCAGAUGUCGCUGACGAAGUAGGAGUAGAGUUGGUUUUCAGACUUCCUGAAAUUCAAACACUGUCUCUCAGGGGGAAAGAAGGCCCAGCACUUAUUUUUCAAUCCCACAAAUACUCAGCUGAAGAACCUGCCUGCCUACCUGAGGGAGGUGUGGAAGAUGGGUCUGCCCGAAAGUCCUUCCUUCACUGACCUGCGGACCUCCAUUGUCACUCAUGUCAAAAAACAUGCUCCCGAAGAUUGACAGGGAAAGGGUGGCCAACUUCAUGUGCCACAACAUCCAGACGGCAGACAAAUUUUAUGCCAUCAAUUUAAAUCCAUCCCAAGGCAAUGAAACCAGGGCACUCUGAGGCUGCACUGAAGGGUGAAGAUAUAACAGCAGAAGGUGAGARAGGACGCCUCCCUCUCCGAGGGGAGCACCACCCCUGAAGAGACCAAGGUGAUGUACCAGGAGUCUGGCACAUCCGCCAGGGACUCGGAGGAGGAGGAAGAGGAUGAAGAUGAGGAACAGACGGCCAGACAACCUCCAAAGACACCCUCCAAGGUGACCAAGCCUCAGCUGGAACUUACCCCAAAGAGGAAGCAGACGAUCCUCAGGCCCCGCAUGGUGGUGGCCGUCAGCCCCCUGCUAGUCUCACCCUUCAAAAUGAACAGCAAUUCGGCCCUCAACUCCCCCAUUGUCACAUUGCAAGGCAUGCAUCAUCUGAAUUGAAACAGUCAGACUCAAAAAAGCCAUUGCCUCAAGGAGGAUAAAGCUGCAGGAGAAGGUGCACAAGGAAAGAGGGGAGCCCUGAUGCAGCUAGAAGGAAGUGGAGCCGACCAACAAUGAGACUUCCUCUUCCCAAAGACUCUUAAAAACUGUUAGACUGUCUCACAUUUACACUGUUCUGAUUUUGUUUGGUGUGGUUUUCUAUUUUGGUGUGUGCUUGUUCAGAUUUCAAAAGUGUAAAAUUUGUAUAAUUUAGUCUAACUGUCUGUUCGAUUUUCUAUUUCUGUGUGAUUCUUUAUAAUGUCAAGGUUUGUGCUGUUUUAUUAAAUAAUUA